UACGUAGGAGGCAAGCGUUGUCCGGAAUUACUGGGCGUAAAGCGCGUGUAGGUGGUGGGACAAGUCUGCUGUGAAAGCGCCUGGCUUAACCGGGCGAGGUCGGCGGAAACUGUCCGACUCGAGGACGGUAGAGGGGGUGGAAUUCCCGGUGUAGUGGUGAAAUGCGUAGGAGAUCGGGAGGAACACCUGUGGCGAAGGCGGCCCC
rnacentral:rRNA from 1 species